CAAGCGGAGACUGGUCUUGUCGGAUUGUCCAUGCACUUGUUGCAGAAACAGCCAAGGCCCUGGCUCCAGAGGAUGCUGAAGGAGGAAGACACGGAAGCAGGACAACCCUGAAAGAUUAAGACUCUUAAUCCUGAAACAGAACCAGGUCUCCUUUUCCCACCUGCCCAGCAGCAUGAGAGCAGCAUGACCGGCCGGCCGCAGGAGACGCCCCCAGAGCCAGGCCCCCAAUUGAACCAUCUGCUGCGGAGGUCACG